UGGAAGUAAAAGUCGUAACAAGGUUUCCGUAGGUGAACCUGCGGAAGGAUCAUUACCUUUUCAAACAAUUGGGGCUGCGCUUCGGCGUAGUUUUCCUUUGUACCCCUUGUCUUUUGCGUACUUGUAGUUUCUUCGGCGGGUUCUGCCCGCCGUUGGACACCCAAGAAAACCUUUUUUUGUAAUUGCAAUCAGCGUCUGAAUAAAUUUUAAUAUUUACAACUUUCAACAACGGAUCUCUUGGUUCUGGCAUCGAUGAAGAACGCAGCGAAAUGCGAUAAGUAGUGUGAAUUGCAGAAUUCAGUGAAUCAUCGAAUCUUUGAACGCACAUUGCGCCCCUUGGUAUUCCAUGGGGCAUGCCUGUUCGAGCGUCAUUUGUACCCUCAAGCCUUGCUUGGUGUUGGGUGUUUGUCACGCAAACGCGUGACUCGCCUUAAAUGUAUUGGCAGCCGGCGUAUUGGCCUAGGAGCGCAGCACAUUUUGCGCUUGUAGCCUUUGCACCAGUAUCCAUAAAGCUUACACAUUACCACUUUUGACCUCGGAUCAGGUAGGGAUACCCGCUGAACUUAAGCAUAUCAAUAA
rnacentral:misc_RNA from 1 species